GGAUUUGAUCCUGGUCCAGGAUGAACGCUGGCGGUGUGCCUUAAGCAUGCAAGUGGGUCGAGCUCCGUAAGGAGCGAGACGCGAACGGCUGAGUAUAAGAUAGGAAUCUACCCAAUGGUUCGGAAUACCUCACCGAAAGGUGAGCUAAUACCGGAUGACCCCGCAAGGGAAAAGCGCGUAACUGCGCGCCGAUGGAUGAGCCUAUCUCCCAUCAGCUAGUUGGUAGGGUAAUGGCCUACCAAGGCUACGACGGGUAGGGGGUGUGAGAGCAUGACCCCCCAGAAUGGGACUGAGACACGGCCCAUACACCUACGGGUGGCAGCAACUGGGAAUCGUGCGCAAUGGACGAAAGUCUGACGCCGCGACACCGCGUGAGGGAUUAAGGCCUUCGGGUUGUAAACCUCUUUUGUUUUGAUCGAAAGAUCAUUAAGAAUAAGCACCUGCUAACUCUGUGCCAGCAGCCGCGGUAAUACAGAGGGUGCAAGCGUUAUCCGGAUUUAUUGGGCGUAAAGCGUUUCGUAGGCGUUUUUGUAAGUUAUACUUCAAAGACCAGGGCUUAACCUUGGAAAGGGGUGUAAUACUACAAGAAUGGAAUUAUCUCGGGGUUUAUCGGAACUGUCGGUGUAGGAGUGAAAUCCGUUGAUAUCGACAGGAACACCAAGGGCGAAGGCGGAUAACUAGGGAUAUAUUGACGCUGAGAACGAAAGCUAGGGGAGCGAAAGGGAUUAGAGACCCCUGUAGUCCUAGCCGUAAACUUUGCUCGCUAGAGAUGCAUCGCAAGAUACGUCUCGUAAGCCAACGCGUGAAGCGAGCCGCCUGGGGAGUACGAGCGCAAGCUUAAAACUCAAAGGAAUUGACGGGGACCUGCACAACCAGUGGAGCAUGUGGUUUAAUUCGAGACGAACCGAAGAACCUUACCCGGGUUUGACAUGCUAUCGUUUAGGUCUGCGGAAACGUGGGCUGAUCAAAAUUUUUUGAUGAUAGCACAGGUGUUGCAUGGCCGUCGUCAGCUCGUGCCGUGAGGUGUUCCCUUCAGUGGGGUAACGAGCGCAACCCUUUUUCCAUGUUGAAUAAUCAUGGGAUACAACCCCGUUUUACGGGGAGGAAGUGGGGAUGACGUCAGGUCCGCAUGGCCCUUAUGUCCGGGGCGACACACAUGCUACAAUGGAGCCUAACAAUGGGUUUGCCAAGCCGUAAGGCGGAGCUAAUCCCAACAAACGGCUUCUCAGUGGGGAUUGAGGGCUGCAACUCGCCCUCAUGAACGCGGAAUUGGUAGUAAUCGCGGGUCAGCUAUACCGCGGUGAAUACGUUCUCAGGUCUUGUACACACCGCCCGUCAAGUCAGUAAAGUUAGGGGCACCCGAAUCUCGAUUGUUAUCGGGAGAAGGUGAAACUAGCGAUAAAGAUUAAGUCGUAACAAGGUA
rnacentral:rRNA from 1 species